AAUUCCAGUGCUUGCAGACCAUGUGGUGAGUUUAUUUACAACCCCAGGCAGCGAGGGAUGCCUGGGAAGAUCAGACCAUGGACUCCAGUGCCUCGUGGGGCACAGCAUAGAAGCAUGGGCGCUGUCUGAGCAAACCCGAGGGUGACAGCUCAGCCAUAGCACUGGCCAGACGUAAACAGCAACAGAUGUUUGUUGAAUGAAUGGACGCAUUAAUGAAUCCUAAUUGCCCUUCUUCCAAGUCCCAGUGCUCCAGAUACAGAGAAAGAAACCGAUGGCACAUCUAAUUUCAUCCCUAUAAUCCACCCUGGACAGGGAAAAGAUUCCCAUUUUACAGGUCAGAACUCAAGGUCGGGAUUGAGAAAACAGCUGAGCUGAUCUACCUGGCUGCCCUACCGAGGUCACUGCUAAAGGCUUGGGGAGACCAGUUUUUGUGGCACGGUUAUCCGCAAGACAGGGACAAGCUGGCUCUCAGGAACUGAAAAAAUGCCAGUUAAGUAGGGAAGGGAAGCACCUCCUGGAGGGCUUGACGGCCUAAGCUCUUUAGCCACAAAGUGGCUGCACCACAAGCUUCCUGGAUAUAAGGACACGUGGCCCUUGGGGCCGCACAACCUUUGUAGGUUUCUGGCCACCAGGUUCCCCCUUGACCCAGCAGGUCUGUCCGCUUGUUGACCUCUACCUGCUCCCUUGAGCUCACCUGCCUCCAGCCCAGCCCUCACAGAUCCCGCCCAAACUGCUCCACGUUCCUGACCCCAGUGCCGCACCGAUCCUAUAGUCCGGGGGUCCCCACGCCCUCUCUCCCCCGCGCGCUGUGGCCCGCACUAACCCCGCUGGCCGCGUUUCAGUCUCAGGCUGGCUCGGAGGCGGCGGCCGAGCCCAUCCAUGGCCCCUCCAGUGCCCAGCGCCAGCUCCCACGUCCGCGCCAGCCCCGCCCCCCAAAUCCUUGACCUUCUUGGGGCCCUGGAACUUUCACUUUCACGCGGGAGGCGCAGGGAGGGGGUGGGGCGGGACAGCGCACCUUCCGGGCUCCUGCCCAACCCCUGGCGCACCUGGGCUGGCCGCUCUUCUCGGGUCCCCACCCUACCCUUCUGCGCCUCUAGGCUCAGGGUGCCAGAGGGCGCCCGCGUGUCCAUCCGGGAGGGGCGGUACCAUCUCACUGUCACCCUCUGUGAAACUUCACUUUCUGAAACACUCUGGUAGGUGCCAAAAGAGAGAGACCCCUACCUCCAGGGCAAGGACUGGAAGACGCACCUUUCCGGUGUUUCCAAACUAUCCGGAGCAGUAGAACUUUCAGACCACACGCCCUUCCCCCACACGCCCUUCCAUCCAACUCCUCCAUGCCUGCCCUUACAACUAUUCAGAGUCUCUGCUACUUCCAGACCUUUUUGUCUUUUCUACCUAGGCACGCCAGAAAAGAGACUGGAGAAGUGGAUUAAGGUAGUGACCCUGCCUUCCAAUCGAUUUUGUUAGUCCACAGAUGAACAUAAUACCAGCCAGUAUAAUACCUGCCUGGCUGCCAUAAAGAUUUCUCAGUGUCAGAGAGAGGGAUUAAAACACUUUCUGUAAA
ensembl:processed_transcript